GACGAACGCUGGCGGCGUGCUUAACACAUGCAAGUCGAACGGAAAGGCCCUGCUUUUGUGGGGUGCUCGAGUGGCGAACGGGUGAGUAACACGUGAGUAACCUGCCCUUGACUUUGGGAUAACUUCAGGAAACUGGGGCUAAUACCGGAUAGGAGCUCCUGCUGCAUGGUGGGGGUUGGAAAGUUUCGGCGGUUGGGGAUGGACUAGCGGCUUAUCAGCUUGUUGGUGGGGUAGUGGCUUACCAAGGCUUUGACGGGUAGCCGGCCUGAGAGGGUGACCGGCCACAAUGGGACUGAGAUACGGCCCAGACUCCUACGGGAGGCAGCAGUGGGGAGUAUUGCACAAUGGGCGGAAGCCUGAUGCAGCAACGCCGCGUGCGGGAUGACGGCCUUCGGGUUGUAAACCGCUUUCGCCUGUGACGAAGCGUGAGUGACGGUAAUGGGUAAAGAAGCACCGGCUAACUACGUG
rnacentral:rRNA from 1 species